GGUUGUAGCCCAGUGGUAAAGUGCUUGCCUAGCAUGCAUGAGGCCCUGGGUUCAAUCCCUAGCACUGCCA
rnacentral:tRNA from 1 species